AGAGAAAACAUAUACUAACAACACUGGCAUUCUAGCAGGUGUACUGCGCCAAAAUAGUGUCCUUGAAGGAAAGAAUCAAGUUAAACAACGAACUGGAACAGUAUUCUUUCCAUUUUUUCACUUUGUACAAAGUAAAUGAUCCACUGUUGAUUGACAUAAUACUCACGAUUACACAACUAGGCUAAUUACCAGCCCUUGAUUUUGCAUACUGGUGUUACGAGAGAACAGUUGCAGACCAACUUGAUUGCCUCAAGUAUUCUGAUAAGGAGACAUUCAAGUAUGAAAAACAUAACUUAACCAAGGCUGAUAGGCGUACUUUCUAUUGCCCGAGAGAUGGAGAGGAAGUAAGAUGUGAGUUCUAGAGAUAUUUGGCUUCAAUCUCUUCCAAAGUGAGCCCUUUUGUCUCUGGUAUGAUGAAGAAGAUGAAUACAAGAGACAAAACAGCUAUUCCACCAAAGAUGAAAAAUACAGUACCCGCCCCCAGUAAGUCCUGGAGAGGAGAAAAUGCAAAUGCCACUAGUGCAUUUGCACCGAAAUUCACAAGAACUGUAAUACUCAACCCUCUCCCUCUAACGCGCAAGGGAAAGAUCUCUGAGAUCAUCAACCAACCAAUAGGACCAAAUGAUAACUGGUAACAGCCAACAUACAGUAGCAGAGCAGUAACAGCCACAGCUGGAACAUCACCAAGGAAAGUGUAAUAUGAUCCCAGGAGGAAAAGUGACAUCGCAAUCCCAGACACACCUCCAAGAAGCAGAGGCCUCCUCCCAAGCUUAUCAACAACUACCACUGCUACAGCAGUCAUAAUGAGCUUCAACAGUGCAAGGAAAACAGAAGCUCUUGUAGCAUCAGCUGCAGCCGAAAAUCCCGCAUCCUGAAAUAUUUUUGCAGCAUAAUACAAGACACUUGGUUGCCCAGUUAUCUGUUGAAACAAGAUUAGUCCAGCACCAAUUGUUAGGGCUUUCAAACAUUUUCCUUGCAACAUCUCACCUAUUGUCGCCUCUUUUUCUUCGCUUAGUUGUGAAAGCUCAGACAGAAUGUCAUCUACUUGACGAGAUGCUGAAUCACCAAUUGCAGCUCCCCUAAGCUGGCACAAGCAACAUAUGGCAUUUUCUCUUAAACCCUGCAACUCACCCUUCCCCUGCAUAGCACAUAGAAGAAUCCACCGGGGUGAUGAAGGAAGCCACCACAUUCCAAUUCCCAUAAUAACUGCUAAAGGGGCACUAAUUCCGUACAUAUAUCGCCAACCAGCAACAGUUUCUAUCAGAAGGCUUCCAACUGUAUAUCCAGCUAGCAUCCCAAAAACUAUGAAGAACUCUUUAAGAGAAAUCAGUUGUCCUCGUAUCUGGCUAGGAGCCGUCUCAGCAAUGUACAUGGGAGCAGCAUGCAUUGCCAGUCCAAUUCCUACACCAUACAGCAAGCGCCCAAUUACCAGAAUAACAUAGACAGGAGCAA
rnacentral:misc_RNA from 1 species